rnacentral:rRNA from 1 species
AUUGAACGCUGGCGGAAUGCUUUACACAUGCAAGUCGAACGGCAGCACGGGGCAACCUGGUGGCGAGUGGCGAACGGGUGAGUAAUACAUCGGAACGUGCCCAAUCGUGGGGGAUAACGUAGCGAAAGUUACGCUAAUACCGCAUACGAUCUACGGAUGAAAGCGGGGGAUCGCAAGACCUCGCGCGAAUGGAGCGGCCGAUGUCAGAUUAGGUAGUUGGUGAGGUAAAGGCUCACCAAGCCAACGAUCUGUAGCUGGUCUGAGAGGACGACCAGCCACACUGGAACUGAGACACGGUCCAGACUCCUACGGGAGGCAGCAGUGGGGAAUUUUGGACAAUGGGCGCAAGCCUGAUCCAGCCAUUCCGCGUGCAGGAUGAAGGCCUCGGUUGUAAACUGCUUUGUACGGUAACGAAACGGACGAGCUCUAAUACAGUUUGCUAAUGACGGUACCGUAAGAAUAAG